UGAGAUAUAGCCAAAAUGGUAAAGGCAUCAGAUUUUGAUUUUGAUAUUUUAUAGGUUCAACUCCUAUUAUCUCAA
rnacentral:tRNA from 1 species